CCGGUUGAUCCCGCCGGACCUGACUGCUAUCGGAUUGAUACUAAGCCAUGCGAGUCAUUGUAGUAAUACAAGGCAGACGGCUCAGUAACGCGUAGUCAACCUACCCUAUGGACGGGAAUAACCUCGGGAAACUGAGAAUAAUGCCCGAUAGAACAUUAUGCCUGGAAUGGUUUAUGUUCCGAAUGAUUUAUCGCCGUAGGAUGGGACUGCGGCCUAUCAGUUUGUUGGUGAGGUAAUGGCCCACCAAGACUAUUACAGGUACGGGCUCUGAGAGGAGUAGCCCGGAGAUGGGUACUGAGACACGGACCCAGGCCCUAUGGGGCGCAGCAGGCGAGAAAACUUUGCAAUGUGCGAAAGCACGACAAGGUUAAUCCGAGUGGUUUCUGCUAAAGGAACCUUUUGUCGGUCCUAAAAACACCGAUGAAUAAGGGGUGGGCAAGUUCUGGUGUCAGCCGCCGCGGUAAAACCAGCACCUCAAGUUGUCAGGAUGAUUAUUGGGCCUAAAGCAUCCGUAGCCGGCUCUGUUAGUUUUCAGGUUAAAUCUGUACGCUCAACGUACAAGGCUUGGCCGGGCAAUACU
rnacentral:rRNA from 1 species